UGGGGUGACGGCGUGCCUUUUGCAUAAUGAACCUACGAGUUACUAUACUUAGCGAGGUUAAUCCACAGUGAGUGGAGUAUCCGUAGCGAAAGCGAGUUUUAAAAAGCGAAAUAGUUAGGUGUAGUAGACGCGAAACCAAGUGAUCUACCCUUGUCCAGGCUGAAGUGUUGGUAACACAACAUAGAGGGCCGUACCGUAGAAUGGUGAAAAAUUCUCGGAUGAGGUGAGGGUAGGGGUGAAAGGCUAAUCAAACUUGGAGAUAGCUCGUACUCCCCGAAAUGCAUUUAGGUGCAGCCUUUAGAUUUAACUAUAAGAGGUAGAGCGACUGAUUGGAUGCGAGGGUUUCAUCGCCUAUCAAGUCCAGACAAACUCCGAAUGCUUAUAGGAAUAUCUAAGGAGUGAGGGCAUGGGUGCUAAGGUCCGUGUCCGAGAGGAAAAGAAUCCGGACCAUCCGCUAAGGUCCCGAAAUGACAACUAAGUUGAAGAUAUAACGCGGUCACGAUGCAGCGACAGCUAGGAUGUUGGCUUGGAAGCAGCCAUUCAUUUAAAGAGUGCGUAACAGCUCACUAGUCGAGGAUUGUGGCAUGGAUAAUAAUCGGGCAUAAGUUGUCUACCGACGCGGUGGAAUUGGUGUUGAAAGACAUUGAUUGGUAGGGGAGCAUUCCGGCGUGGCUGAAGGUUUUCUGUGAAGGAGGCUGGACGUUCCGGAAGAGCAAAUGUAGGUAUAAGUAACGAUAAAGGGGGUGUGAAUCCCCCUCGCCGCAAGACUAAGGUUUCCUCUUCACCGUUCGUCGAGAGAGGGUUAGUCGGGACCUAAGGAGCAUCCGUAGUAGGAGCAUCCGAUGGAAGAAUGGGUUGAUAUUCCCAUACUCGGUGUAUUAUGCAGAAGUGGAGACGGAGUAGUGACAGUCCUGCCUGCUGCCGGAAUAGCAGGUUGAAGGGUGUAGACGUCGAUGUUGGUAGGCAAAUCCGCCGACAGAGUCGAACCUGAUAGUACGAGGACCCUUCGGGCGAAUCGAUAAGGGCGUAAACAGGCUUCCAAGAAAAUCCGCUAUGCGAUUAAUAAUGCAUUGACCCGUACCGCAAACCGACACAGGUAGUUGGGUUGAGUAUACUAAGGCGCUCGAGUGAUGCGCGGUUAAGGAACUAGGCAAAUUGGUCCUGUAACUUCGGAAUAAAGGACGCCUUGUCCGCUAAAGGGCAAGGCCGCAGAGAAUAGGCUCAAGCGACUGUUUACCAAAAACACAAGGCUAUGCUAAGUAGAAAUACGCUGUAUAUAGUCUGACACCUGCCCGGUGCCGGAAGGUUAAGAGGAGUGGUCAUCCAUUAGGAGAAGCCAUGAAUUGAAGCCCCGGUAAACGGCGGCCGUAACUAUAACGGUCCUAAGGUAGCGAAAUUCCUUGUCGGGUAAGUUCCGACCUGCACGAAUGGUGUAACGAUUUGAGCACUGUCUCGACCGCGCGCUCGGUGAAAUUGUAGUAUCGGUGAAGAUGCCGGUUACCCGCAAUGGGACGAAAAGACCCCGUGAACCUUUACUAUAGCUUUACAUUGUAUCCGGGUAUGAGAUGUGUAGGAUAGGCUGGAGACUGUGAAUCAGCAUCGCCAGAUGUUGUGGAGUCGUUGUUGAAAUACAGCCCUUUUCCUAUUUGGAUACUAACUCUUUGGUAAGAGGACACUGUAUGGUGGGUAGUUUGACUGGGGUGGUCGCCUCCAAAAGCGUAACGGAGGCUUCUAAAGGUACCCUCAAGCCGUUUGGUAAUCGGCUUUCGAGUGUAAUGGCACAAGGGUGCUUGACUGGGAGACUCACAAGUCGAUCAGGUAGGAAACUAGAGCAUAGUGAUCCGGUGGUUCCGUAUGGUAGGGCCAUCGCUCAAAGGAUAAAAGGUACUCCGGGGAUAACAGGCUGAUCGCUCCCAAGAGCUCAUAUCGACGGAGCGGUUUGGCACCUCGAUGUCGGCUCGUCACAUCCUGGGGCUGGAGAAGGUCCCAAGGGUUGGGCUGUUCGCCCAUUAAAGUGGCACGCGAGCUGGGUUCAGAACGUCGUGAGACAGUUCGGUCUCUAUCUAUUGUGGGCGCAGGAUAUUUGCGAGGGUCUAGCACUAGUACGAGAGGACCGUGCCGGACGUACCUCUGGUUGAUCAGUUGUUUCGCCAGGAGCAUAGCUGAGUAGCUAAGUACGGUUAAUGGAUAAGUGCUGAAAGCAUCUAAGCACGAAGCCCUCCUCCAGAUGAGAUAUCCAUGUUAGGGAGGUUGUAGACGACGACCUUGAUAGGCUGCAGGUGUACGGUCAGUAAUGAUUUUAGCCGAGCAGUACUAAUCCCCCGAAAGCUUUAUC
rnacentral:rRNA from 1 species